GGUGAGCAUAUAGAGCUCAGCAAGUGACUAACAUAUCCAUGUCAAAAGAGGACAAUUUCCAAAGAGAUAAAGUUUCGAAAUACAAGGCAGAAUAUAAGAAUUCGUAGACGUAAUAUCAUUAGGUGCAGAAUCACAAUUGUCAUUUCAAUCAAACAUAUUUGGUUCAUAACAGAGGGGGCAUAGAGUAAUUGGAGCAUAUCAACCACGAAUGAAACGUUUCGGAGCAUAUCAAUAACAAAUGAAACAUUUCGGAGCUUAUCAAUGACGUAUGAAAUGUUCCAGAGCAUAUCACGGUGUAGUAUGGAACAUUUCGAAGCAUAUCAACAAUAAA
rnacentral:lncRNA from 1 species